AUUGAACGCUGGCGGCAGGCCUAACACAUGCAAGUCGAGCGGUAACACAGAGAGCUUGCUCUCGGGUGACGAGCGGCGGACGGGUGAGUAAUGUCUGGGAAACUGCCUGAUGGAGGGGGAUAACUACUGGAAACGGUAGCUAAUACCGCAUAAUGUCGCAAGACCAAAGAGGGGGGACCUUAGGGCCUCUUGCCAUCGGAUGUGCCCAGAUGGGAUUAGCUAGG
rnacentral:rRNA from 1 species